rnacentral:rRNA from 1 species
CCUACGGGCGGCUGCAGUGAGGAAUAUUGGUCAAUGGGCGCAAGCCUGAACCAGCCAUCCCGCGUGCAGGAAGACGGCCCUAUGGGUUGUAAACUGCUUUUCCAGGGGGAGAAUUUUUCUGUCGUGACAGGAAUUGACGGUACCCUGGGAAUAAGCAUCGGCUAACUCCGUGCCAGCAGCCGCGGUAAUACGGAGGAUGCGAGCGUUAUCCGGAUUUAUUGGGUUUAAAGGGUGCGUAGGCGGAUAGAUAAGUCAGUGGUGAAAACCUGCAGCUUAACUGUAGACUUGCCGUUGAUACUGUCAGUCUUGAGUAUGGUCAAGGUAGGCGGAAUGUGUAAUGUAGCGGUGAAAUGCUUAGAUAUUACACAGAACACCGAUUGCGAAGGCAGCUUACUGGGCCAUUACUGACGCUGAUGCACGAAAGCGUGGGGAUCGAACAGGAUUAGAUACCCCUGUAGUC